GGAGCCGGCCGGGCGGCCGCGGGGCCGCGCAUCGCGGCCUCGAGGAAAGUCGGGGCUCCACAGGGCAGGGUGCUGGGUAACGCCCAGGCGGGGUGACCCGCGGAAAGCGCCACAGAAACAGACCGCCCCCGCGAGGGGGUAAGGGUGGAACGGUGAGGUAAGAGCUCACCAGCGCGCCGGGUGACCGGCGCGGCUCGGCAAGCCCCACCCGGAGCAAGGCCAAGCAGGGAGCGCUCGAGGGUGGCCCGCCCGAUGCUCCCGGGUAGGCCGCGCGAGGUCGGAAGACCCGGGGUCCCGCCGAGAGGCGGGGCUCAGAUAGAUGGCCGCCCCCGGCCCGAGCGGGCCGGGACAGAACCCCGCUUACAGGCCGGCUCCUCCC
rnacentral:RNase_P_RNA from 1 species